GAUGAACGCUAGCGGCAGGCUUAAUACAUGCAAGUCGAGGGGCAUCAGCUUAUAGCAAUAUAGGGCUGACGACCGGCAAACGGGUGCGGAACACGUACACAACCUUCCUUUAAGAGGGGGAUAGCCCAUAGAAAUGUGGAUUAACACCCCGUAAUAUAGCGGUGUGGCAUCACACUGUUAUUAUAGUUUCGGCGAUUCGAGAUGGGUGUGCGGCUGAUUAGGUAGUUGGCAGGGUAAAGGCCCGACCAAGCCUUCGAUCAGUAGCUGAUGUGAGAGCAUGAUCAGCCACACGGGCACUGAGACACGGGCCCG
rnacentral:rRNA from 1 species